GGCCUGGUCAUACCCAAGUUCAAGGCUCUGGUACAAAGAAAGCAGCUGUGGUUUAUUCCUAAGACCUAUGCCAGAUGGAAAAGCUAAACCCAGAGUUUGUGCUGAGUCAUAGUACCCUACCCGCCUUGACUGCUGGGCAGAACCUCUGGACAAGAUAAUGCAUUGAUCUUCCUCAAGACUGCCUCAGGUGCCACCCUGCCUUCAAGAUCUGACGAAAGGGGGCGCUCAACAGAUGGGAAACGUGUCUCCCCAGAGCUGGAAGUCAAUAGGAAAGAACGCGUUGAGCGAUGUGCAAGGCUGCUCACGGAUAAACCAAAAGGGGGCGCGAUUAACCGAGCUAAACCUUGGAAACCCACAGACCCACCCAAUGGCUCAUUUAGGAGGCGGAGGCAGGAGGAUCUCAAGUUUGAAGUUAUCCUGAACUAUGUAACUAGACCCUGUCUCAAAAAAAAUAAAUAAAUAAAAUACAAUAAAAGCUGUUAUUCUA